UAAUGCUAUUAAAAAUUCUGAGUUGGCAGCACUGACAAUUCAAACCAUAAACUCUGAAAGCAAAUGAGUAAAUAGCAUAGAAUGGCAUAACAAUAGAAAUAUAGGUCUGUGAUUGAACCAAUAAUGACCUUUUCAAAGAAAGUGCUACCAAACAUAAACAAGAUUUGGACCUAGACUAGAUCUAGAUCUAUAGUAUAAUCUCAUACCAUAGACUCUAGAAUAUUCUAUUUAAGACUAGAUCUAGAUUUUAAAUUUUAAUUGUUGUCAAAAUGAAGUUUACUUUGACACCAAGUACAAAGAUAAUUCUUGGCUGGACAGUGAUAAUCUCUGUUGGUCUUUAUGGGUUCACAUUAGCCAGAGACUCUGUGGUCAGUAACAGAAAAUCUCUCAUGGACAUUAGAAAAAGGAUUAGAGAACAGACCCGUACAGAAAAAGAAGCAGAACUAGAAAGCAAAGCAGCAGAAAGAGAAAAACAAAAAAUUGUUACGUGAUGUUGGGACUUCAGUUUCUAUUCAUUUUGUUUGUCUUUAAUGCUAUUACUUGCAUGUUGUUGGUUUUUUUUUUACUUGUGUUAAUUUUGUGUAGCAGUUAGAAUAUAAUACUUAUAGCAUAUUGACACAAUCUAUGUUUACUUGUAAAGCAUUAAACAAAAAUGUUCCUUGGGAUGUGUUAAAAUGGUACAAAUAUAGAUCAUUUUCAUUAUGAGACAGAAUAUAAUUGAUGACACCUUUCUGGCCAAAGAUUUAGAGCAAUUUGUUAAGUUAGCACCAGUACUGUCUUCAUGUUUUCCAAUGAUGCUGAAUGCACAUUAUUUUUUUGUUUAUCCUGGUUAAACACCAGCAUAUCCUUAAAUUAAAAUUGUUUAAUGCAGAAAUUCAUUAGAAAUACCCUACUGAAGAUAUUGUAAAAGUAGGCUAACUUGUAUGAAGUACACAUUGUCCACUCUCGUGAGCAACUCCUUAUCUUUGAACCAGUGUCGCCUUAACCUGCUGUCCUGAAUGGGCAAUAAUUUAUUGGUCAUGGUGGGCAAGUAGGUAACAAGCAUCAUUUUUGUCUGUCAAACCCAAUCCUUGUUUAACAUUACUUUCAAUGCUUAGCCAAGGUUUUUAACUGCUUGCUUCUAAACCUCAUUAGAACUAGUUUAUCAUCAUGUUUAAUCCAUGAAUUUGUCAACAGGAGUUGAACUAUUGUACAGUUAUUUUUAGCUUCUAUUGUAAAGCUGGAUGAAAUGUUGCCUUGUGAGAUUUGAUUCAAAAUGCAUGAUUUGUCUGAAAGACUUUUGGCAAAUAAAUAAGUCUUUGCUCUGUUUGGUAUAGCUAUGGAUUUUGUAUAGAAGUUCACCUUUAUACUUGUUAGAAUGCUAGUUCCUGAAGUUUGAAUGGAGUUUUCUGAUAAACAAGCUCUGUAAACUCUGACCCAGAUGCUGGUAUUAAGUAAUGGGUUUACUCUUUGGCACUGUGUGCAUACAUUUCUUUGUUAUCAAUUGAGUCUCUGAUGGUGGAAAUGUCUCUUCAAGGAUUGUCAAAUUGUUUCAAAUGCUGUGUUUUGUUUUAACAGGUGAUAAUAAAGUAAGCUACAAGACAAAACUAGAUUCUGAGAUGUUAAUUAUUUAGUUCAAUUAGUUUUUGUUUGUUAACGAGGUAUACAUUAUUUUUAAACAUUCAGCUAAAACAUUGACUGAGUACUUAGUUUUUCCACUUAUGCUUUACUUUGAAACAAUUUGUUCAAAUAGGAAAUCCUUAAAACAGAAACUAAUAUAUGUAUAUAAGAGAUUAUUUACAGUGUUACAACAAACAAAUUAACAAACAUGAACAAUUUAUUAUGUUUUUAUUUACAUGUAUAGUUCACACAUGAAAUGAUUUAGAUAUUUGAACAAGCUACUUCAAAAAAGUAGCCAAAGCUUACUCAGUUUUUACAAUUCACACUUUAGAGAUAUUUAACAGUAUGUAAAAUGACUGUCUUAAACACAUUCAACAUAAUGAAAGUUUUUUGGAGACUGAAGUCAUUGGAAAAGUUUCAUUGCUGAGCUUGAGAAUGUACUGAUUAGGAAAUUAAAACAAGUAGUUGUGCCUGCAAAUAGACAGAUUUUUCUAUUCAAACAACUGCUUCUUCACAUUUUGCUAUUCAAACAACUGCUUCUU